UGGUGGCGACCGGCGCACGGGUGAGUAACGCGUAUGCAACCCAUCUAUCAGAGGGGGAUAACCCGGCGAAAGUCGGACUAAUACCGCAUAAAACAGGGGCACCGCAUGGUGAUAUUUGUUAAAAAUUUAUUGCUGAUAGAUGGGCAUGCGUUCCAUUAGGUAGUUGGAGAGGUAACGGCUCACCAAGCCUACGAUGGAUAGGGGAACUGAGAGGUUGGUCCCCCACACUGGUACUGAGACACGGACCAGACUCCUACGGGAGGCAGCAGUGAGGAAUAUUGGUCAAUGGGCGAGAGCCUGAACCAGCCAAGUCGCGUGAAGGAAGAAGGAUCUAUGGUUCGUAAACUUCUUUUGCAGGGGAAUAAAGUGCAGGACGUGUCCUGUUUUGUAUGUACCCUGAGAAUAAGGAUCGGCUAACUCCGUGCCAGCAGCCGCGGUAAUACGGAGGAUCCGAGCGUUAUCCGGAUUUAUUGGGUUUAAAGGGUGCGUAGGUGGUUUAAUAAGUCAGCGGUGAAAGUUUGCAGCUUAACUGUAAAAAUGCCGUUGAAACUGUUAGACUUGAGUGUAAAUGAGGUAGGCGGAAUGCGUGGUGUAGCGGUGAAAUGCUUAGAUAUCACGAAGAACUCCGAUUG
rnacentral:rRNA from 1 species